rnacentral:rRNA from 1 species
ACCAGCAGCGAUAGCUCCUUGAAAGCACCAGUUCCGCAUGGAUCACUGAAAUUGAGCACGGUUGCGCGUGGUUAGUACCCGGAUGGGUGACAGUCCUGAGGAAUAAUAGAAUAGUGCUUAUU